GAUGAACGCUGGCGGCGUGCCUAAUACAUGCAAGUCGAGCGAACAGACGAGGAUCUUGCUCCUCUGACGUUAGCGGCGGACGGGUGAUGAACACGUGGAUAACCUACCUAUAAGACUGGGAUAACUUCGGGAAACCUGAGCUAAUACCGGAUAAUAUAUUGAACCGCAUGGUUCAAUAGCGAAAGACGGUUUUGCUGUCACUUAUAGAUGGAUCCGCGCCGCAUUAGCUAGUUGGUAAGGUAACGGCUUACCAAGGCUACGAUGCGUAGCCGACCUGAGAGGGUGAUCGGCCACACUGGAACUGAGACACGGUCCAGACUCCUACGGGAGGCAGCAGUAGGGAAUAUUCCGCAAUGGGCGAAAGCCUGACGGAGCAACGCCGCGUGAGUGAUGAAGGUCUUCGGAUCGUAAAGCUCUGUUAUUAGGGAAGAACAAAUGUGUAAGUAAAUAUGCCCGUCUUGACGGUACCUAAUCAGAAAGCCACGGCUAACUACGUG
rnacentral:rRNA from 1 species